UAGCAUUUGGUUUGUAGGCAGUGUAGUUAGCUGAUUGUAUCCGUUUCCCCGAGCAAUCACUAGCUUCACUGUUAUCAAAACAAGGCGCA
rnacentral:miRNA from 1 species